UAUCAUCCGUGGAUAAUUUUGGAGAACAGUUUGCGUCGUAGAAGAGAUUCUGUAGUUUGCAAAUUAGAAAUGUAAUCUUAGCAAGUAAUCACACAGUGCCAGAUAAUCGGAACUCUGGGGUUUCAGAGUGUACUCCCCGAUUUAGAGGGAGAUACGCAGUCUAACUGUCCCAGAGUAUGAAUCAGAGUUCACGGCUCGAGGGUCCCUUUACGAAAUAGCUCAUUGGUACACUCAUCGGUAGUUUUUAGCCGUCAGCUAUUUCCAUUAUUUCGAAACCGGGAUCCCCAGCAGGCAGAAUAAACAUAUUUAAUUAAAGAUGGCGGACUCAUCGAUGUUUGUCAACUGAGACGACGCAAGAUUUAUUUUGGUUUAGAAAUUAGUCUGUAGCAGUAAAGAGUUCAGGUGCACGGCCGUGCUUUUUCGCGGUACUCUGUCGGGACAAAAUUUUUAGGUACUUGCUCAUUGCAGAUCAAGAACUGAAAGAAUG